rnacentral:rRNA from 1 species
CCUUAAUCAGGGGGAUAGCCCGAAGAAAUUCGGAUUAACACCGCAUAAAAUCACAGAAUAGCAUUAUUCAAUGAUCAAAUAUUUAUAGGAUUAAGAUGGGCAUGCGUGUCAUUAGCUAGUUGGCGGGGUAACGGCCCACCAAGGCGACGAUGACUAGGGGAUCUGAGAGGAUGACCCCCCACACUGGUACUGAGACACGGACCAGACUCCUACGGGAGGCAGCAGUAAGGAAUAUUGGUCAAUGGAGGCAACUCUGAACCAGCCAUGCCGCGUGCAGGAAGACUGCCCUAUGGGUUGUAAACUGCUUUUAUCUGGGAAUAAACCUAUUUACGUGUAGAUAGCUGAAUGUACCAGAAGAAUAAGGAUCGGCUAACUCCGUGCCAGCAGCCGCGGUAAUACGGAGGAUCCAAGCGUUAUCCGGAUUUAUUGGGUUUAAAGGGUGCGUAGGCGGCCUGUUAAGUCAGAGGUGAAAGACGGUAGCUCAACUAUCGCAGUGCCUUUGAUACUGAUGGGCUUGAAUGGACUAGAGGUAGGCGGAAUGAGACAAGUAGCGGUGAAAUGCAUAGAUAUGUCUCAGAACACCGAUUGCG